rnacentral:rRNA from 1 species
AUUGAACGCUGGCGGCAGGCCUAACACAUGCAAGUCGAGCGGAUGAAGGGAGCUUGCUCCUGGAUUCAGCGGCGGACGGGUGAGUAAUGCCUAGGAAUCUGCCUGGUAGUGGGGGAUAACGUCCGGAAACGGGCGCUAAUACCGCAUACGUCCUGAGGGAGAAAGUGGGGGAUCUUCGGACCUCACGCUAUCAGAUGAGCCUAGGUCGGAUUAGCUAGUUGGUGGGGUAAAGGCCUACCAAGGCGACGAUCCGUAACUGGUCUGAGAGGAUGAUCAGUCACACUGGAACUGAGACACGGUCCAGACUCCUACGGGAGGCAGCAGUGGGGAAUAUUGGACAAUGGGCGAAAGCCUGAUCCAGCCAUGCCGCGUGUGCGAAGAAGGUCUUCGGAUUGUAAAGCACUUUAAGUUGGGAGGAAGGGCAGUAAGUUAAUGCCUUGCUGUUUUGACGUUACCAACAGAAUAAGCACCGGCUAACUUCGUG